UAGUAGAUUGAAGAGGCUGAUAAGUGUCUCUGCAAUCGUGUAUGAACUUUGAGGCAUAAUAAGGGGCGAGUCAUCGUUUCGGUCGUCAUCUGUUUGGUUGGCGAAUCGAUUGUUCCUCGUCUACAU